GUUAAAACACUGGUUCCUACAAGAUCACCGAAGUUAAGCAACGUCGAGCCUGGUCAUUACCUAGAUGGGUGACCGCUUGGGAAUACCAG